rnacentral:lncRNA from 1 species
UUGGAUUUAGAGGGUUGAGGAUUCUCACCUCCUUGAACCAUAGGGUUUGGCCUAGGAUCCAUGUGAGAUGAUUCAGCUCCUAAAGAUUCUGAAUUUUUAUCUUUUUCAGCUGCAGGAUAUUCUAUAAUAGGCCCUAAAUUUCAUUUAGAUUGAGCUCUAACUUGAUUUAAAUUUGGGCUUUCUAGAAUGGGCUGCAAAAUUCUUCUACAAUGCAUAAAAUAAAU